GGAAGGUGCGGCACAGCUCGGUCUUGUACUUGGGGUGGCGGGUGAGGCUGCGCAGCUCGUGGAAGCCGUGGGCGAACUGGCACUUCUCGCCGUACUUGCAGGCGCCGCUCUCUUCGAAGGGGCGGCACAGCUCCGUCUUGUAGCGCGUGGAGUUGAUGGGCGCCCCGCCGCCCCCCGAGCCGCCCCCCUUGCCGGCCGCCGCCUGCUGCUGCUGGAGCUGCUGCAUCAGGUGCUGGCUGCGCUCGCCGUUCUCGCUGAAGGAGCGGUCCCGGAACUUGUUCUCCUUGUUCAGCAGGGCCGUGGGGCUGCCGCCGCCGCCGCCCCCGCCGCCGGAGCCCGGCUCCUUCAGGCCGCCGAACGACGAGGAGGACGAGGACGAGGAGGACGACGACGAGCUGGAGCCGGUGGGGCUGGGGAACUUGGCGCCGGCGGCCAGGGCCGGCAGGUUGCUGGUCGAGUGCCGCCGCAGGAAGCCCGGCGCGAAGCUGGAGCCGGAGGAGGCGACCGGGGUGCCCACGGCCUUCUUGUCCAGCAUGCUGCUGAGUUUUUUCUUCUAGAAGAAGAGAAAAUUUACAAGAACAGCAUAUAAAGGAAGUCUUACACACUGGAAAAACACGAAGGCUGAACACAGCACUGCUCCAAAGACACAGACUGGCCUCCUGUGAACUGCAGACACCACUCAACUGAUCUGCCAACCAAGCACAUGAGAUCUGCCUCUGAGGCCAGAGGAAAACACAGAGGCAUCCUGUUGAUAAGGCUGAAACUUAAGCUUCAGAUGUUUGGGAAAGAGCCUGCCUAUGCCAGGCUUCUAAUGGCCUCCUGGCACUUGAGGUGUGACACAGGCUGAAGGGCAGAUCAGAGCCUGGCCCUGCCGCAGGGCACCAGAGCGGCUGCAUGGCUCCCCCACCACUUCCCCUGCUGCCAUCCCUCACACAGCACAUUUGAUGCUAGAGCAGUUCAGGACCCGAGCUGGAGACUACCACUGCCACACAGGCAUCAAAGCGGUGGAACAGGUAUGCAAAGGUGUAUCUACUCCCUUAGCUUUUGAGUGCUGAAGUGAUAUAGAGAAAGAACAGCAAGCAAAGUUACUGCACCCUUAUAUGAUUUAAAAGGCAUGAAAUGCUUUCAGCGGGGAGAAUGUUUUGCACCUUUGAUGACCCCCAGCUCUAAAAGUAACAGCACAGAAUGCUGUAAGCAUAUACACAUAUUCUUUUAAGGUACCCACAAAAGGUGCAUGUGUUCUAAAACUUUAACAUGUGUGUCUUCACUGACAUAUUAACUGCUGACGAGAACUGUUCCUCACAUCAGUUUGCCUGCAAAACACGACUGCUUUUUAAGAAGCCACAAACUGUAGAUUACCUGAUACUGAGCUCAUGACUCACACUAUGACUUCAGCAGCGGUCUGAGCACACUGGAAGCUCUCUAUGGGCAGGUGGUUCUCUCCAUCACACCAUCCUCCAGCCAUGGCCUCGAUGCGUACCUCCCGCCAGCUCAGGUCGUCUGCUGAGCACCUGGUGAACUGAUGCUCAGGACAGCAAAACAGGGAUUUGGUGUGCAACAAAGUGUGUGGGCUUUCCUACUCAGUGAGUGAGCUGAACUGCAUGCCCUGCAGCCUGAAUGGGCACGGCUGGAGCUGGGGACAGUGAAGCCCCACGACCCCUGCACAGAGCGGGGAUGCAAGAGGAAAGAGAGCAGGACCUCCCCUGGCAGUAGGCUGUCUGGGCGGGUCAGCCAGCACCCAAAGCUUCACCAGCAGAGCCAUGUAAACAGCCUGCUAACCGAGAUGACUCAAACAGCUAAUAAUAGCCUCUCAUAAUGUAAACAAUUACGUAUUUUAAACAAGUGAAUGAAAAAACUCAAACGACAGAUUUCUAGAAGCCGCUCCUGACUGAUAGCCACAGGGACUAAAGUGGCAGAAAGUGACCCUGGAGAUGUGGCUACCAGCAAACACUGGACAAUACCAGAGUGCUCCUACUACAGUGGUUCUGCAGGCUAUCAGACUGUGUCAAAAAUGAUCACUUAUCAGUUUUUAAAACUCUAAAGCACUUAUAUGUUCCAAUGUGUAAAAAUAUAAGCAACGUGAUAGGCAUCUCGUUAAAUAAGCCAUUACAGGGGCUGAAGUACCAAAAAAAAUCCUCCAUGCCUUAAACAAGUAGUUACAAGCAGAAGAAUUAAUAGUACUCCCUGAAAUGAAAAACAAAAGAUAACCAUCAGGUACUACAUGUUUUUUUCAUUUUCAGGAAGUGAAUUUUCAUAAAGGGAAAGGGGUUAAGUACUGCACUGUUUUAGUCUUCUUUGUUAAUCCACCCACAUAAAAAUUAGACCUCCUACAUGCACAUUCAUAUACUCCAAAAGCUUUGAUCAUGCCAGAUGUAAAUAUUUCUUCUAGUCACAUAUUACAUGUCCUCAAACUAUACAAUUGUUCUCUGUUAAAGCCUUGGUGAUAUUAUGGAGAGCUGAAAGGACAUAUUAAGAGCACACGCAUGGAAGACUUCAACAACAACUGUGAUAAAAUACGGGCAAAAGAGAACUUAACCUUGCCUAACAAACCAUUUUGUAAUUGUUCUUGCAUUGGAAAUAGUUAACUGAAGUUCAUUUUUGAUCAGAGGGUCAUGCAGUUUGUACAAAUGUAUAUACUGCGUUCAUAAUGAAAAUAAGAAGCACUACAAGGGAGCUUAGCACCACAGUCCCAAGAGGAAGCCUCGCAAAGAUCAGCGCACCAACAGUGAGAAUGUUGUCAAGGAGAAGGUAGAAGAUAGGUUGAAACUGAAAUUACAGAGAAUAUUUUAGCUAGACUAGGUAUAUUCUAAUGCAGUAAAAAAAAGUGCUGCCUACCAACCAAGGCAUAACCAGUACUACAUUGCUGUCAACACAGUACUUCAUAGCACCUUGGUACAGUAGGGCAGUGGGAUUCUUGCUUCAGAGACAGCAUGCACAGCAACCAAGUCCACUGAAUACUUACUUGGCAAAACUAGGCUGAUGCAUCACCUUAACGAGAUGAUGAAUUCAGCAAGAGGUUAGUUUCCCAUCCAAAGAUGUUAGACCCAGCAUCACUCUCAUUAAUACCUGUAAUGUUGGAUUUGCAGGCAGAACAUUUCAGGAACUGAAUCAGUACUCACUUUGGUAGCACUGAAGGUUUUCUUUUGGGUGUUAUGUAAUAACUAGGGUUACCCUUAUUGGGUAAUAGGUAUACCCUAUGUAUCAAGUGUAAGAGAACUGAGUGAUGCACUGCUGCAGAUGUGACUCCGUUUAAAACACUCGGCUCAUGUAUGUGUGUGCUUCCCCCAAAAAUAUCUCAAAACUAAAAAAAAAAAAAAAAAUUUAAAAUCCCACUGGUCCAUCCUGUGAGUUACAUAAUCUGGCAAAUAAAUAAAGGUUAGAAACUGUAUUUCUUAUGUUGAGAUCACCUGCUUGCAUACUCUGAGUUAGACAGGAAUUGUGCAACUCCACAGCAGUGCAGCGGGCAGGUGUGCAGCCACCAGAAAAACCAGGGGACCAAAGAACGCAGUAGCAGCAGACAAAAAGCCAGGGGGCUUUCAUUCCCACUCAGCCUCCACAAACACCAUUGCAGUGUGACCCUCCUUCAGGAUGUGAAGAUUAAAAGGACAAGGGAGAGGUAAAGCAACAAAAAAACCAAAGAAAAUGCAAAACUGUCAACCUCCAGGGAGCUGGCAGAGGGCUGUUCACAAAGGUGCUUGUUCAUUGCACUGUGUCAACUGAAGUUACAAACAUCGCAAUUUCCAGUUUAUAAAAUGACCGGUUAUGUAAAACCUAAUAUAUAAGCAGAUUCCUCUUCAUAGUGUUUCAUAAAAAUCAAAGGCAAUUGGAUCAUUUCUAUCCUCUGGAGAAAUAGCAUUCCGCCGGUGACGUGCAACUACUUCAUCUGUUUUCCAUUUUCCUGCCCGAAUCUGCUUUCCAGCCACACUUUUUCAGGGUGACUUUAAAAAGAGGCCUUCCUGACAUCAUGCAGCACGAUGUCAAAACACAACACCAUUACAAAACAAACUAAUCAAAACUAAUUUCUUAAUAGUUGCAGUCUCUGAGUAUAGCAGCAGUAACGCUGCUCUCAGCUUUGGCUUUGAUUAUAACCAGAUCCGAGUUAAUAACAUCUCUGAUUAUGAUGGAAACGUACAGCCCAGGACCAGACGGAAUAUCCAAGUCCCUUCUUGAACAGAAAAGCACGAACAUUAAUAGUCUUUUCAAGACCAUUUUUGGAAUGUGGGCAGAGCAAUAUUUUUCAACCGAGAAUUAUGUUUUAAAUACACGUACACACACACAGGCUUUUCCCAUACAUGCCAUGCCUCCUUUGCACAAAGGGUUUUAUUACCCAACAACCACAGCUAACAGAUCCUUCACAGGAAAUGAGCAUUUGGACUUCACCACUUGCAGAAACAACCCCCCACCGCAGAGCCACGUUCCAAUUUGAACAGCAAAAAACCAUUACCUCCUGCAUAAGCCCACAGAACUUUUGAAACGCAGUUAUGUGCUAACACAGAGAGGCAUGUUCCUGUAAGGAAGCUAUAGCUACUGAGCACGUCUGAGAAGACUCCUAAUAACUACAAAGCAUCUGAUCCAGGAGUAUGUACGAUUUACUGAACGUAGGUAUUUCUCAGCAGAGGAGCAAAAUAAAACAAGUUGGGAACCUCAGCCGCUCGGUCUUCAUGUCUGUAUUGAUGCCAUAUAAUUAAAUAGUACAGGUAAAGGUUGUUUUCAAUAAAACAUUAUAUUUCAUUUUUAUCCUAGUUUCAUAUUACUUAUUAAAAAUGGUGACAUUUGAAAAGAACAGACUGUAAGAUUGCUCUUAGAGAAAGUGCCAUAAAUCUCAUAUAUUACAAUUUUUGUCAAAAAGGUUCAUGACAUUCUCAGCUUCUUUGCUGGUCAAGGCUAACUUUGUUGGUUAGUUCACUAACCUCAUUUUCUCAGCGUGUAAGAGCAUACUCUUACAAACUCAAAGCCCACAGAAGCUGUUUGCUACACAAAGACUUGAUGGAAAAAAAAACAACCCUCGCACUGAAACCUUCCAACACGCAUAGUCCAGACAGACAACAGAUGAAUAAGAUGAAG
rnacentral:lncRNA from 1 species